UCAACUUUCAGCUUGUCUGGAUUGUAAUACUGUUCCCUAACAGCUUUAGCACACAAGGCGUGCCGUACCAGGACAGGUUUUCAGAUCCUGACCGAACUGUACACUCAGAUGGAGAUGUGCAGGCUGUUGGGUAUAUAUAGUAUUUUUAAGAAUUUCGAAGAACACAUCUCUGGUCUUACGUUCAUAUACAUACAGUAUCAAUUUGGGAAAUUUUAAGCCAGCUUUUCUGAUUAAACAUUUGAACGUGACGAUAUGUUCACCUAAUCAACCCCGAUCCUUUUCGAUCAGUGAAACAAUACAAUGCCUGUUUUCCAAUAAUAUUGCUCCCCC
rnacentral:lncRNA from 1 species